GACGAACGCUGGCGGCGUGCUUAACACAUGCAAGUCGAACGGAAAGGCCCUGCUUUUGUGGGGUGCUCGAGCGGCGAACGGGUGAGUAACACGUGAGUAACCUGCCCUUGACUUUGGGAUAACUUCAGGAAACUGGGGCUAAUACCGGAUAGGAGCUCCUGCUGCAUGGUGGGGGUUGGAAAGUUUCGGCGGUUGGGGAUGGACUCGCGGCUUAUCAGCUUGUUGGUGGGGUAGUGGCUUACCAAGGCUUUGACGGGUAGCCGGCCUGAGAGGGUGACCGGCCACAUUGGGACUGAGAUACGGCCCAGACUCCUACGGGAGGCAGCAGUGGGGAAUAUUGCACAACGGGCGGAAGCCUGAUGCAGCAACGCCGCGUGCGGGAUGACGGCCUUCGGGUUGUAAACCGCUUUCGCCUGUGACGAAGCGUGAGUGACGGUAAUGGGUAAAGAAGCACCGGCUAACUACGUG
rnacentral:rRNA from 1 species